rnacentral:rRNA from 1 species
UUUGGGUGACGAGUGGCGGACGGGUGAGUAAUGUCUGGGAAACUGCCCGAUGGAGGGGGAUAACUACUGGAAACGGUAGCUAAUACCGCAUAACGUCGCAAGACCAAAGUGGGGGACCUUCGGGCCUCACACCAUCGGAUGUGCCCAGAUGGGAUUAGCUAGUAGGUGGGGUAACGGCUCACCUAGGCGACGAUCCCUAGCUGGUCUGAGAGGAUGACCAGCCACACUGGAACUGAGACACGGUCCAGACUCCUACGGGAGGCAGCAGUGGGGAAUAUUGCACAAUGGGCGCAAGCCUGAUGCAGCCAUGCCGCGUGUAUGAAGAAGGCCUUCGGGUUGUAAAGUACUUUCAGCGGGGAGGAAGGCGAUGCGGUUAAUAACCGCGUCGAUUGACGUUACCCGCAGAAGAAGCACCGGCUAACUCCGUGCCAGCAGCCG